AUAGAUGUGGAGCUAAAGCCAACAAAGAGGUUUCAAAAAUGGAACCAAAAGAGCUGGAACCCAAAAUGAGAUCCAGUUCAUUAGAAUUACAGAGUGCACACGGUGGACUUCCAAGGUACACAAGCCCACCUGCUGGUCUCCAGUCUCCUCUCCUCAAUUCAACAGCUUCCUAGUCUACUUCGGGCAUAACUAUCUCCAUGUGGAUCUCUACCCCUCUGCAUCAUUUUUUUUUUAAAUGUAUAAAUAUAUUUCUAAUCCUCUCCUCCAGUGGCAGAGGCUCUCUG